rnacentral:rRNA from 1 species
UACGUAGGGCGCGAGCGUUAUCCGGAAUUAUUGGGCGUAAAGAGCUCGUAGGCGGUUUGUCACGUCUGCUGUGAAAACUGGAGGCUCAACCUCCAGCCUGCAGUGGGUACGGGCAGACUAGAGUGCGGUAGGGGAGAUUGGAAUUCCUGGUGUAGCGGUGGAAUGCGCAGAUAUCAGGAGGAACACCGGUGGCGAAGGCGGGUCUCUGGGCCGAUACUGACGCUGAGGAGCGAAAGCGUGGGGAGCGAACAGG